rnacentral:tRNA from 1 species
GCGGGCGUAAUUCAGCGGCAGAAUGCCAGCUUCCCAAGCUGGACGUCACGGGUUCGAUCCCCGUCGCCCGCUCCA